GGCUAUAACCCAGUGGUAGAGCACCUGCCUUGCAUGCAGAAGGUCUGAGGUUCAAUCUCUGGAAUGAUGAGCGCCG